CAAAAAUAUAAUAUUCUAGCUACACGUUAGCUUAUAUAUUUUACCCACUUAAAAAUAACCAACCAAAAUAUUAAAAGCAAUUAUUAAAGUACAAAACAUACGCGCAAGUAUUUAUUUCUUACGAGUUUCCAAAUAAAUUUGACUCUAGGCAGUCUUCCCGUACAUUUUUCUCGUUGUUUAACAACUUUGCAGCAUGUUAGUCUUGAGAAGAAGGAUAAAACACUCACGAUUGGGUUUGGCGUAAAAAUAAAAAGAACUGAAUGCUUGGAAAGUCACAGGGAAAGUAAAACAAUUGUUUCAUCGAAUUGUAUUCAAAUCUAAAGAGUACGUUGUUUGAGUCUAUCGUGCUUAAGGCGUUAAUCGUUUGGGAUCGCGCGGGAACAUGGAAGUCUUGCGGAUGUUGUCCAAUCCCAGAUACAGCAUCACCACACGCUCCAUUCCAAUGCCACCACCAGCAUGUGGAGGACAUCCAUAGCGGAAGGACUCGAUGUACGCCGCAAUCUUGGAGUCUUAUCAUUGUUUACCGAGAGAUCUUGUGACUAAGCUGACCUUACGAGUUAUUUACUACGUGUAGGGGGUACUCACCAAUGCCAUGGUGCUUGGCUCGUUCGAUUAAGUACUCGGGAUCGUGGAUACGCUGCGCGCCGGACAGGAUCUCCUCGCCGCGCAUGAACAUAUCGUAAGAGUUGGAGUAGACCGGAUUGUUUGGAUCAGGCAUCGUGUAGAAGGGCCGUAUCGCUAACGGGAACUUGUCAAGGAUGUAGAAGUCAGUGUCGUACUUGGCCUUGACCAGGCGACCCAACAGCUUUUCGUUGGGCGUAGACAGAUCCUCCUCGUCGCCGGUCUCCACACCAGCCUCGCGCAACAUGGCCACGCCAUCGGCGAACUGGAGGAUCAGUGGUGGCUCCAGGAACUUGAAGGCAUCCACCUUGUACUGCUGGCCUACAGAUUCGAUUUCCUUAGCGUACUUAUCACGCAGUCCCUUGAAAAUGGACGUAAACGUGUUGCCAAUCGUGUGCAGCACCUCGUGGUAGUGGUACUUAAAGGCCAUUUCCAGAUCAAGGCCUACGAACUCGGUCAAAUGCCGAUGAGUGUUCGAAUCCUCUGCACGGAACACGGCUCCUACGGUAUAGACCUUGUCAAAAUCGGCGGCGAUGGCCAUCUGCUUGUACAGCUGCGGCGACUGCGCCAGAUAGGCUGAAUCCUUGAAGUAGCUCACGGUGAACACAUUGGCGCCUCCCUCACUGGCCGCUGAAAUGAUCUUCGGCGUGUGAAUCUCUGUGAAGCCCUGCUCAGUGAGAAUAUCGCGGAACAGGCGACAUACUCCGGCUUCCAGUCGGAAAAUGGCCUGAUUUGCCGGGGUCCUCAGGUCGAGCACUCGGUUGUCCAAGCGCGUGUCCUGGUUCACGCGAAUAUUCAGACCUUCCGCAUCAUCGGCGUUCUCGGGACGCGAUGCAUCCUCGAUUUGCAAUGGCAACUGUGCCUUGGCCUGGGAUAUUACGAAUAUCUGCUCGACGGACAAUUCCAGCGACUGCUCUGUGCAGGAUUCAAUCUUGCUAGACACCGCCACUGGCUUGGCCUGGAUAUCAAUAAUGCUCUCCUUAGGGAUACUGAAAAAAUAAAGACGUUUUUGAAUUAUUAAAUGAAUUAUUAAAUUUGCAACAACAAAAAUU
ensembl:ncRNA asRNA:CR45141 antisense RNA:CR45141